CUUUCUCUCUAAAUAUACGUGUCUCAUUUUGUUGGAUACUAAACAAGGAUUAAUAGGCUUAUAAGAUUUGAUUAGGAUCAGUAGUUGUAAUUUGUUGAGAACAAAGAAUGGAGGGAAGGAAAACGUGGGGUCGUCUUCCUUUACUUCAGAGCUCUUUGGUUCAAAAGAUUCUCCGUCACCUUCCACUUGGAUUUUCGGCUCAAUAUAUGCUUCUCCCUCUAAGGUGCUAGGAAGGGAGUCUCUACGUCCUGCUGGGACCAGAAGCCAUCAUUCUCCAAAUGAGCCCUUGAACACAAAUCCUGGAGCCUCUGGUGUUUCUUCGGGAGGACAUGAAGGUGAAAAUCAGAAUGUACAAGACGGGAGUUACAUGUAUUAGGAGCAGAGAGUGCAACCGUGUCCUUUAAGUUCGUCGAUCAUCUAUGGCGGGCAAGAUGUACCCUAGUCCCCAGAGCCAGGGCUCUGGGUUGAACUCUGUGUACAAGAAAUAUGGCGGAGAAGAUGAUUCGGGGAGUGCAACAAGAGGAACUGGUGGAAAGGGUCUCUAUAUUACCAAGAGUUUGUUUGUCUUUCAACAUACUCAUAUCAAGGUACAUAGGAACAUAUAGAUAACGGUUU